rnacentral:rRNA from 14 species
GUCUGCAGCCAUACUACCCUGAACACAUCCAAGCUUGUCCGUUCCUGGAGGCAAAGCAGGGUUGGGCCAUCUUAGUGCUUUCGUGGUAGUCAGUUCCCCCUCGGUUCUGGGAAUAUAGACAGCAGCUCUAGCUG